UUUUAAUUGAGAGUUUGAUCCUGGCUCAGGACGAACGCUGGCGGCGCGCCUAACACAUGCAAGUCGAGCGAUGAAAUUUUAACCGAUCUCUUCGGAGAGAAGAUAAAAUGGAUUAGCGGCGGACGGGUGAGUAACACGUGAGAAACCUGCCUUUCACAAGGGGAUAGCCUCGGGAAACCGGGAUUAAUACCCUAUGACACAUUUCCUUCGCAUGGAAGAAAUGUUAAAACUCCGGUGGUGAAAGAUGGUCUCGCGCCUGAUUAGCUAGUUGGUGGGGUAACGGCCCACCAAGGCCAUGAUCAGUAACCGGCCUGAGAGGGUGAACGGUCACAUUGGAACUGAGACACGGUCCAAACUCCUACGGGAGGCAGCAGUGGGGAAUAUUGCACAAUGGAGGAAACUCUGAUGCAGCGACGCCGCGUGAGCGAUGAAGGCUUUCGAGUCGUAAAGCUCUGUCCUAUGGGAAGAUAAUGACGGUACCAUAGGAGGAAGCCCCGGCUAACUACGUGCCAGCAGCCGCGGUAAUACGUAGGGGGCGAGCGUUGUCCGGAAUCACUGGGCGUAAAGGGUUCGCAGGCGGUUUACCAAGUCCGAUGUGAAAGGCAUGGGCUCAACCCAUGUAAGCAUUGGAAACUGGUAGACUUGAGUUAAGGAGAGGUAAGUGGAAUUCCUAGUGUAGCGGUGAAAUGCGUAGAUAUUAGGAAGAAUACCGGUGGCGAAGGCGACUUACUGGACUUAAACUGACGCUGAGGAACGAAAGCGUGGGGAGCAAACAGGAUUAGAUACCCUGGUAGUCCACGCUGUAAACGAUGAGUGCUAGGUGUCGGGGCAACUCGGUGCCGCAGUUAACACAUUAAGCACUCCGCCUGGGGAGUACGUGCGCAAGCAUGAAACUCAAAGGAAUUGACGGGGACCCGCACAAGCAGCGGAGCAUGUGGUUUAAUUCGAAGCAACGCGAAGAACCUUACCAAGGCUAGACAUUUUAUUGAUCGGUCUAGAGAUAGACCUUUUCUUCGGAACAGUAAAACAGGUGGUGCAUGGUUGUCGUCAGCUCGUGUCGUGAGAUGUUGGGUUAAGUCCCGCAACGAGCGCAACCCUUACCUUUAGUUGCCAGCAUUUCGGAUGGGAACUCUAAAGGGACUGCCGAUGAUAAAUCGGAGGAAGGUGGGGAUGACGUCAAAUCAUCAUGCCCUUUAUGCCUUGGGCUACACACGUGCUACAAUGGUCGGUACAGAGAGCAGCGAGCGAGCGAUCUCAAGCGAAUCUCAAAAAGCCGAUCUCAGUUCGGAUUGUAGGCUGCAACUCGCCUACAUGAAGUCGGAGUUGCUAGUAAUCGCGAAUCAGAAUGUCGCGGUGAAUGCGUUCCCGGGUCUUGUACACACCGCCCGUCACACCAUGGGAGUUGGUAAUACCCGAAGCCGCCGAGCUAACCGCAAGGAGGCAGGCGUCGAAGGUAGGAUCAAUGACUGGGGUGAAGUCGUAACAAGGUAGCCGUAUCGGAAGGUGCGGCUGGAUCACCUCCUUUCUA
rnacentral:rRNA from 1 species